AUGAGGAGCUGGAGCCUCAUCCGGACGCCGCCAUGAGCUGGACUUCCCCGACCAUGACGACGCCGACGCCGUGAGGUUUGUUGAUGCUUGAGCUUGCUCUAAUGAAUGGAUUCUUCUUGUACUUCAGCUUGACUGUACUCCAGAGGCUGGAUGGAUGAUGGAGUAGGAUUAGUUAGUGGAUGCGUUAGUGAGGCUGGAUGGAGUAGGAUUAGUUAGUGGAUGCGUUAGUGAGGCUGGAUGGAGUAGGAUUAGUUAGUGGAUCAGACCCAGAUUAGUUAGUGGAUGUAUUAGGAGUAAAAUUCAGUAAGAUGUGUACUGUCUCAAAAUCUAAGAAGUCCACCUCUGAAAUUCAGUAAGAUUUGUACUGUACUCUGAUCUCUGAAGUUAAUGGAUGGAGUAUUUGAACUC